CGCCAGGGGCACCGCUGGGUAGCUAUGUGCGGAAGGGAUAAGCGCUGAAAGCAUCUAAGCGUGAAGCCCCCCUCAAGAUGAGAUUUCCCAUCGCGAAAGCGAGUAAGAUCCCUCGAAGAUGACGAGGUCGAUAGGUCCGAGGUGGAAGCGUGGCGACACGUGCAGCUGACGGAUACUAAUCGAUCGAGGACUUAACCUA
rnacentral:rRNA from 1 species